GACGAACUUUGGCGGCGUGCUUAACACAUGCAAGUCGAACGGAAAGGCCCUGCUUUUGUGGGGUGCUCGAGUGGCGAACGGGUGAGUAACACGUGAGUAACCUGCCCUUGACUUUGGGAUAACUUCAGGAAACUGGGGCUAAUACCGGAUAGGAGCUCCUGCUGCAUGGUGGGGGUUGGAAAGUUUCGGCGGUUGGGGAUGGACUCGCGGCUUAUCAGCUUGUUGGUGGGGUAGUGGCUUACCAAGGCUUUGACGGGUAGCCGGCCUGAGAGGGUGACCGGCCACAUUGGGACUGAGAUACGGCCCAGACUCCUACGGGAGGCAGCAGUGGGGAAUAUUGCACAAUGGGCGGAAGCCUGAUGCAGCAACGCCGCGUGCGGGAUGACGGCCUUCGGGUUGUGAACCGCUUUCGCCUGUGACGAAGCGUGAGUGACGGUAAUGGGUAAAGAAGCACCGGCUAACUACGUGCCAGCAGCCGCGGUGAUACGUAGGGUGCGAGCGUUGUCCGGAUUUAUUGGGCGUAAAGGGCUCGUAGGUGGUUGAUCGCGUCGGAAGUGUAAUCUUGGGGCUUAACCCUGAGCGUGCUUUCGAUACGGGUUGACUUGAGGAAGGUAGGGGAGAAUGGAAUUCCUGGUGGAGCGGUGGAAUGCGCAGAUAUCAGGAGGAACACCAGUGGCGAAGGCGGUUCUCUGGGCCUUUCCUGACGCUGAGGAGCGAAAGCGUGGGGAGCGAACAGGCUUAGAUACCCUGGUAGUCCACGCUGUAAACGGUGGGUACUAGGUGUGGGGUCCAUUCCACGGGUUCCGUGCCGUAGCUAACGCUUUAAGUACCCCGCCUGGGGAGUACGGCCGCAAGGCUAAAACUCAAAGGAAUUGACGGGGCCCCGCACAAGCGGCGGAGCAUGCGGAUUAAUUCGAUGCAACGCGUAGAACCUUACCUGGGUUUGACAUGGAUCGGGAGUGCUCAGAGAUGGGUGUGCCUCUUUUGGGGUCGGUUCACAGGUGGUGCAUGCCUGUCGUCAGCUCGUGUCGUGAGAUGUUGGGUUAAGUCCCGCAACGAGCGCAACCCUUGUUCACUGUUGCCAGCACGUUAUGGUGGGGACUCAGUGGAGACCGCCGGGGUCAACUCGGAGGAAGGUGGGGAUGACGUCAAGUCAUCAUGCCCCUUAUGUCCAGGGCUUCACGCAUGCUACAAUGGCUGGUACAGAGAGUGGCGAGCCUGUGAGGGUGAGCGAAUCUCGGAAAGCCGGUCUCAGUUCGGAUUGGGGUCUGCAACUCGACCUCAUGAAGUCGGAGUCGCUAGUAAUCGCAAAUCAGCAACGCUGCGGUGAAUACGUUCCCGGGGCU
rnacentral:rRNA from 1 species